rnacentral:rRNA from 1 species
CGGUAGCCGCGGGAAUACCAGCAGCCCAAGUGGUGGUCGCGAUUAUUGGGCCUAAAGCGCUCGUAGCCGGGCCGGUAAGUCCCUUGUGAAAUCGGACGGCCUAACCGUUCGGCGUGCAAGGGAUACUGUCGGUCUUGAGGCCGGGAGACGUCCGAGGUACUCCGGGGGUAGCGGUGAAAUGUUCUGAUCCUCGGGGGACCACCGGUGGCGAAGGCGUUCGACGAGAACGGGCCUGACGGUGAGGGGCGAAGGCUAGGGGAGCAAACGGGAUUAGAUACCCCCGUAGUCCCUGUCUCUUAUA